UGGGGAAUCUUGCACAAUGGAGGAAACUCUGAUGCAGCGACGCCGCGUGAGUGAUGAAGCCCUUCGGGGUGUAAAGCUCUUUCGACCCGGAAGAUAAUGACGGUACGGGGAGAAGAAGCUGCGGCUAACUACGUGCCAGCAGCCGCGGUAAUACGUAGGCAGCGAGCGUUGUUCGGAGUUACUGGGCGUAAAGCGUGCGUAGGCGGUGUCUUAAGUUUGUUGUGAAAUCUCCCGGCUUAACCGGGAGGGUGCGGCGAAUACUGAGAUGCUGGAGUGCCGGAGAGGUAAGCGGAAUUCCUGGUGUAGCGGUGAAAUGCGUAGAUAUCAGGAGGAACACCUGCGGUGUAGACGGCUUACUGGACGGUAACUGACGCUGAGGCACGAAAGCGUGGGUAGCAAACA
rnacentral:rRNA from 1 species